AACGAACGCUGGCGGCAUGCCUAACACAUGCAAGUCGAACGCGUGGAGCGAUCCACGAGUGGCGCACGGGUGAGUAACGCGUGGGAACCUGCCCUGGAGUGUGGGAUAACCCGGCGAAAGCCGGGCUAAUACCGCAUACGACCUGAGGGUGAAAGAUUUAUCGCUCUAGGAGGGGCCCGCGUUGGAUUAGCUAGUUGGUGGGGUAAUGGCCUACCAAGGCGACGAUCCAUAGCUGGUCUGAGAGGAUGAUCAGCCACAUUGGGACUGAGACACGGCCCAAACUCCUACGGGAGGCAGCAGUGGGGAAUAUUGGACAAUGGGCGCAAGCCUGAUCCAGCCAUGCCGCGUGAGUGAUGAAGGCCUUAGGGUUGUAAAGCUCUUUCACCGGAGAAGAUAAUGACGGUAUCCGGAGAAGAAGCCCCGGCUAACUUCGUGCCAGCAGCCGCCGCAGUAA
rnacentral:rRNA from 1 species